AGGGUUUGAUUAUGGCUCAGGAUGAACGCUGGCGGCGUGCUUAACACAUGCAAGUCGAGCGAAGCACUUUUGCGGAUUUCUUCGGAUUGAAGCAACUGUGACUGAGCGGCGGACGGGUGAGUAACGCGUGGGUAACCUGCCUCAUACAGGGGGAUAACAGUUGGAAACGGCUGCUAAUACCGCAUAAGCGCACAGUACCGCAUGGUACGGUGUGAAAAACUCCGGUGGUAUGAGAUGGACCCGCGUCUGAUUAGGUAGUUGGUGGGGUAACGGCCUACCAAGCCGACGAUCAGUAGCCGACCUGAGAGGGUGACCGGCCACAUUGGGACUGAGACACGGCCCAA
rnacentral:rRNA from 1 species